UCGAACGGUAACAUUUCUAGCUUGCUAGAAGAUGACGAGUGGCGGACGGGUGAGUAAUGCUUGGGAACUUGCCUUUGCGAGGGGGAUAACAGUUGGAAACGACUGCUAAUACCGCAUAAUGUCUUCGGACCAAACGGGGCUUUUAGCUCCGGCGCAAAGAGAGGCCCAAGUGAGAUUAGCUAGUUGGUAAGGUAACGGCUUACCAAGGCGACAAUCUCUAGCUGUUCUGAGAGGAAAAUCAGCCACACUGGGACUGAAACACGGCCCAAACUCCUACGGGAGGCAGCAGUGGGGAAUAUUGCACAAUGGGGGAAACCCUGAUGCAGCCAUGCCGCGUGUGUGAAGAAGGCCUUCGGGUUGUAAAGCACUUUCAGUUGUGAGGAAAAGUUAGUAGUUAAUACCUGCUAGCCGUGACGUUAACAACAGAAAAAGCACCGGCUAACUCCGUGCCAGCAGCCGCGGUAAUACGGAGGGUGCGAGCGUUAAUCGGAAUUACUGGGCGUAAAGCGCACGCAGGCGGUUUGUUAAGCUAGAUGUGAAAGCCCCGGGCUCAACCUGGGAUGGUCAUUUAGAACUGGCAGACUAGAGUCUUGGAGAGGGGAGUGGAAUUCCAGGUGUAGCGGUGAAAUGCGUAGAUAUCUGGAGGAACAUCAGUGGCGAAGGCGACUCCCUGGCCAAAGACUGACGCUCAUGUGCGAAAGUGUGGGUAGCGAACAGGAUUAGAUACCCUGGUAGUCCACACCGUAAACGCUGUCUACUAGCUGUGUGUGCCUUUAAGCGGUGCGUAGCGAAGCUAACGCGCUAAGUAGACCGCCUGGGGGGAGUACGGC
rnacentral:rRNA from 2 species